GUCCUUUAGAAUUUAAUUUGAGGUCUAACCUGCCCACUGAAUUUAUUUUAAAUGGCCGCAGUAAUUUGACUGUGCAAAGGUAGCAUAAUCAUUAGUUUUUUAAUUAAAAGCUUGUAUGAAGGGUUGGACGAGGUAAAAUCUGUCUCUAAUUAAUUUAAUUUAGAAUUUAACUUUUAAGUUAAAAGGCUUAAAUAUAUUUAAAAGACGAGAAGACCCUAUAGAUCUUAAUAAUUAUUUUAUUAAAUUUAUUUAAGAAUUUUUACAAUUUUAUUAAUAUAAUUAUUUUAUUGGGGUAAUAUAAAGAUUAAAUAAAUUCUUUAUUUUUAUUUACAUUAAUUUAUGAUAUUAUGAUCCAAUUUUAUUGAUUAUAAGAUUAAGUUACCUUAGGGAUAACAGCGUAAUUUUUUUAAAGAGUUCUUAUCGAUAAGAAAGUUUGCGACCUCGAUGUUGGAUUAAAGAUUAUUUCAGGUGUAGAAGUUUGAAAUUUUGGUCUGUUCGACCAUUAAAUCUUUACAUGAUCUGAGUUCAGACCGGUGUAAGCCAGGUCGGUUUCUAUCUUUAAUAAAUUAAAAUAUUUUAGUACGAAAGGACCAAUUAUUUGAUAUAAAAUAUUUAAAUUUUGAUUAUUAUUAA
rnacentral:rRNA from 1 species